rnacentral:rRNA from 1 species
AGCGAACGCUGGCGGCAGGCUUAACACAUGCAAGUCGAGCGGACCUUUCGGGGUCAGCGGCGGACGGGUGAGUAACGCGUGGGAACGUGCCUUCCGGUUCGGAAUAACCCUGGGAAACUAGGGCUAAUACCGGAUACGCCCUUAUGGGGAAAGGUUUACUGCCGGAAGAUCGGCCCGCGUCUGAUUAGCUAGUUGGUGGGGUAACGGCCUACCAAGGCGACGAUCAGUAGCUGGUCUGAGAGGAUGAUCAGCCACACUGGGACUGAGACACGGCCCAGACUCCUACGGGAGGCAGCAGUGGGGAAUAUUGGACAAUGGGCGCAAGCCUGAUCCAGCCAUGCCGCGUGAGUGAUGAAGGCCUUAGGGUUGUAAAGCUCUUUUAUCCGGGACGAUAAUGACG